UCCAAGGUUGCUGCGAGAUAACUGGGGCCAGUUUCGGGGUGUGGGAGUGGUAUUAUUUUUUUAAAGUAAUAUUGCUCACUACACCUCCAAAUUGGUCUUGGUACUUCAACCGACUA